UACGAAGGGUGUUAGCGUUGCUCGGAAUUACUGGGCGUAAAGAGCACGUAGGCGGGUCCGUAAGUCGAUUGUGAAAGCCCCGGGCUCAACCUCGGAACUGCCUUUGAUACUGCAAAUCUCGAGUCCGGAAGAGGUGAGUGGAAUUCCUAGUGUAGAGGUGAAAUUCGUAGAUAUUAGGAAGAACACCAGUGGCGAAGGCGGCUCACUGGUCCGGUACUGACGCUGAGGUGCGAAAGCGUGGGGAGCAAACAGG
rnacentral:rRNA from 1 species